UACGUAGGGUGCGAGCGUUAAUCGGAAUUACUGGGCGUAAAGCGUGCGCAGGCGGUUAUUUAAGUCAGGUGUGAAAGCCCCGGGCUCAACCUGGGAAUUGCAUUCGAGACUGAAUAGCUAGGGUACGGUAGAGGGAAGUGGAAUUUCCGGUGUAGCGGUGAAAUGCGUAGAUAUCGGAAGGAACAUCAGUGGCGAAAGCGACUUCCUGGACCAGUACCGACGUUCAGGCACGAAAGCGUGGGGAGCAAACAGG
rnacentral:rRNA from 1 species